GACGAACGCUGGCGGCGUGCCUAAUACAUGCAAGUUGAGCGAUGAAGAUUGGUGCUUGCCCCAAUUUGAAGAGCAGCGAACGGGUGAGUAAAGCGUGGGGAAUCUGCCUUUGAGCGGGGGACAACAUUUGGAAACGAAUGCUAAUACCGCAUAACAACUUUAAACAUAAGUUUUAAGUUUGAAAGAUGCAAUUGCAUCACUCAAGGAUGAUCCCGCGUUGUAUUAGCUAGUUGGUGAGGUAAAGGCUCACCAAGGCGAUGAUACAUAGCCGACCUGAGAGGGUGAACGGCCACAUUGGGACUGAGACACGGCCCAAACGACUACGAGAAGCAGCAGUAGUGAAUCUUCGGCAAUGGACGAAAGUCUGACCGAGCAACGCCGCGUGAGUGAAGAAGGAUUUCGGAUCGUAAAACUCUGUUGGUAGAGAAGAACGUUGGUGAGAGUGGAAAGCUCAUCAAGUGACGGUAACUACCCAGAAAGGGACGGCUAACUACGUG
rnacentral:rRNA from 1 species